AGUUUGUCUGUAUUUAUGGAAAUAAAAAAUAUUUUUACCUCGUCGAUUUUUUAAUGAAAUAGAUAUUAUAUAAAUUCAGAUACUAUAAAUAUUGUGCAUUGUGCUAGUUUGUUAAUAGUUGGGGUUAAACCUCUAUUCAGAACACUGUUUUAUAACCUAUAAAGAUUUGUCUGUUUAUGUUAUGCUUUACUUGAAUAAAUGGCAGAAAGUAGAUUUUAAUAAUAUGCAAGAAAAGGAGAGUUACAAGUAAAGUUUUCAAGCAGGAAUUGAAACUGGUAAUGCUGACGGUUUCCAUUUAGAUCAUCACAGAGGCUUUCAACGCGGACGUGAAUUAGUGAUCGGCUUGACAGGAGGUACGAAGAGUCAAACGGGCCCACGCCCCACUCUUCCCAAUAGAAAGAAGGGUACAAUCUGUGUCGUCCCACGCGAAAGGCGUAGGAUACGAAGGAAACCACCCACCCCACCACCUCCUAGUUCCUCCCUGAAAUGGGCCGUAUUAGCCUUGGCUGGUGCAAUCGUAAUAGGCUUCGUCAUUAAGAAGGCGUUGGCUAAGUAAAACUACGGGACUAAUCCAUAAGUUAUCAAAGUGGCUGUUUUAGAUAUAGAAAAACACCUGUAGCUCUAACAGAUUGACAGAUUUUAUUAAUAACAUGUGCGUAAGAUGUCUAUAAAAUGGUAAAAAUCUCUUUAAAAAAAUUGAUACACUUUUUUCUUUGCCCUCGAUGCGCUGAACUAACUUCUAGUUGAGCUACAGAUAAUGUAUUCACUCACAUAACAGAAUUGUUAUACAUACUAUAAUUUAUAAAUUUUGAAACAUGAUUUAUAUUUAAAAGAAUGAC